rnacentral:lncRNA from 1 species
ACGUGCUUAAUUUCAUUUGCAUGGGGGAGUUAUCUCCUGUCGUUAUAAGCUCAUACCAAAAGAAAAAAUACGCAAAUAUGAAAAGAAUUUUCAUUCAAAGCAAAGUUGUUGGUAAUACAUUCGUAGAUUUUUCGAACCCUAUAGCCGUGGAAGGUCUGCUCCCCGUCGGGGUCCCCCUGAGAUGGAGUUGAUAAUCCCAAUUGGAGGUUGAUCUUCAGGCUGCUCCUCCCUCCUUGGCGGUUCCGGCUGCGGCAGGGUCCUAGGCCAAUCUUCUCUUCCUUCAGGUCGGUGUUGAAUAAAUCUGUCGAGCCGACCUCGUCUGAUGAGCUCCUUGAUCUUGUCUCGGAGCUGAACACACU